CUUAAAACGACCCAACAAAGUUUUAUGAUGAGCAGUUGACAUCCUUUACGUACAUGCAGAGAAGCGAAAAAUAUUAUCAAAGCUGCAAGUUCCUGCAUAUCCAUAUCCCUCUGGUCCGCGCAAGAUGACUGUCAUCCGACCUAACUGCACCACAUUUCCAAGGAUGAACAUGACAGGCCAUAUUGCUAGGAUGAUCCAUGUCACCCAACACUCCACCUGGACAUCACCUGCCAUGAUGUGCUGUCGGGUGUAAUUGAGAAGCACAAACUCUUCAGUGAAAUAGUCCACACCACCUGUUAUCAGUGCAGCACCAAUGAGAGACGUUGCCACAAUGAAGAAUCCUUUCUGCCAUCUUAAUGUCAAUAAACUGAAGAUCAAACUUAAGCCAAGGAGAACCCCAAAUGGUAUCCACACAAGAGUCACAUGGUAAAAUGUUGAGAUGACAAAAAAUAUGGCUACACCAAUGAAAAAUCCAAGACCUAAUCCUGCCAGGAAUAGACCACAGUAUGAGCAGAACAUUGUCAAAAGACCACAGAAUACUCCAACAGCUGCACUGACGGCAACAAUACCCCACAUAGGCAGGUCAGCAUGGUUUAUAGAGAUGACGUAAGUGACAAAGGUGGCAUGUAGGAAUCCCAAGAGGAAAAGGCUGCACUUGAAGAAUCUGUAACC